rnacentral:sRNA from 1 species
AAAAUUGAUCAUCAUUGGUUUUGCUAACGCAAGUCCAGAUAAGAUAAUGUAUCUUGAGUAAAUAUACCUCAAAAUGUCCUAUAAUACACUAAUAAUAAUAGAGUACAUGAAAAUACUUCAAUCGAAAACACCCAGCAAUAAAAUAAAUCUAUCCAUCGUGGUGUUUUACGAAAAUUAAAUAAAGUUAUAUUAUAUAAUUAUUUUCAUAAUUGUCAUAUUCUCCAUUUAAGUUUUAGUUUUGACAAAUGAUGUGGCUGUGGGUUUUUACUCUAAAAGGGGUAUUCACAUUCCAGUUCUAUACCGGUAUGGAGCUUUAGCGAAAUUUUCAGUUUGCUAAGACCAGCUGACAAGCUAUGAGGUGGCACCACAUGGAUUUGAACUAUGAGCUCCGAUUUGUUUUGUUUUCAUCGUCGUAACGAGAAGCUCAGCUGGGAGCUACCGGGCGCAUCCACAGGUCGCCCAAAGUGUGAUGCUUAGUACAUGGAAGAGGUCGCUAGACUGGUAAAAAACAACCCAAAUAUUAAAGCAAUUGAGCUCAGAGGUUAGCAUGCACACCUUUGAUGCUGAACGGCUAGUUUCAAAUCGUGGCUAGAACUUCAGAAAAAAUGUGGCGCACUACGGCAAGCCGUUUGGGCUCGGUAAUAAAAAGGAGAUCCCUUAACACUAAACUUAAACUUGUAUCGGACAUUGCAUGGAUAUGAGAGAAGUAUCUCCGUAGUUCCUUAUUGGAAUUUUCAUGGGCAACUUUUGUAUUUUUUGCGCUAAUUAAAGGCUUUCCAAAUGUUUACCCAUAUUGGAAUUGAAACACAGAAUCGCAUUAAUAAAGGACAUUGAACAAACUUAA